rnacentral:rRNA from 1 species
UACGGAGGGUGCAAGCGUUAAUCGGAAUUACUGGGCGUAAAGCGCACGCAGGCGGUUUGUUAAGUCAGGUGUGAAAUCCCCGGGCCCAACCUUGGAACUGCGUUUGAAACUGGCAAGCUAGAGUCUCGUAGAGGGGGGUGGAAUUCCAGGUGUAGCGGUGAAAUGCGUAGAGAUCUGGAGGAAUACCGGUGGCGAAGGCGGCCCCCUGGACGAAGACUGACGCUCAGGUGCGAAAGCGUGGGGAGCAAACAGG